UCAUCAGCAAGAUUAAUGAGACCUGGUGUCUGAAACUGUGGAUUCCAUUUUGCAGCCACUAUUUCCUCUGCACUCUUCCCCACCCCCUCACAUCUAUUUUUUCUUUUUUCCUUUUUUGAUAAAAUAAGAUUGUUCGUUUAUUACCUAAGUAUUAUGAAAUGCCAGAGGCUGAGGCUCUGAAGCCUGAACAGUUCAAAUAUCAACUCAUAUUUAAUUUUGAGAUGAUCCGGGCAUUGCUGUAUUGUGUGAGCCAUCAGAGGCAGCGGUACUUCUUUUUUCUUCCUUGGAGGACUGUACCAAACCCAUUUCACCAGGAGCAUGUCAUCUCAGGAGGCCUGGUUGUGAGCCUGGUUCCUUUGAACACCGCGAAUCCAGGAGGUUCAGCAGGCAAUGCAGUGUUUACAAAACAAGACUUUAUGCUGUACAGAAUGGGAGUAAAUGCCCGUAAGCUGUCGCAGAAGAGGAACAUGCUGUACCAACCUGCUCACCACACAGGUCUGAUUUACAAAAGCACUUCAUCGCUGACCUAA
rnacentral:lncRNA from 1 species